GUCUUUCUGUCCCCCAAUCUAUGGAAUGUAUAGGGUGAUGCCAGUAGCUCCGCCCUAACCGUACCGUACCAUUUCCUAUGGACCUACAAUAGGAUUAGUCACAAAGAAUAACAAGUCAUCGGUGUAUGCCGCAAUCUUGUGUGUAGUUCUCUUCCAUUGGGAGCUUGUAAUGUCUACAUUGCACCUCACUGCCUCUAGAAAUGGCUCUGAUGUUAAUGCAAAUAGGAGCGAGGAAAAUGGGCAUCCCUGCCUCGUGUCAUUGUGGAUCUGGAAGGUAUCCGUCAGAGUGCCAUUUACUCGUACUAUGGUGUUUGGGAAGCUAUAAAUAGCACCUAUCAAAACAAGUAAUUUGGCUUGAAAGCGUAGCUAUGAGGAAUGACCCGGUCAAAUGCCAUCCCUGCAUCUGUCGAGAGAAAGAGAAAAGGUACCCUGCUCCAUUGCACAAGGUGUUGAAUUAAGAAAACCCACAGACUGCGGUCCGUUGCCUCCCUGCCCAGGAUAAACCCUGUUUGAGUCGGGUGGACUAAUCCAGGCAGUUUCGUCUCGAAUCUGGUAGCCAAGACCUUGGUGAAAAGUUUAAUAUCCACGUAAAGUAACGAAAUCGGUAUAUAACUACUACAAAACUCUGCAUCUUUCCCUGGCUUAGGUAAGAUGAUAAUUGUGGCUGAUAUGGACUCCAAAUGGAACCUUCCCCCUGAGGUAAGCACAUUGAGGGUCUUAGUUAUCUUAUGUACUAGAAUGUUGCGGAAGUUUAUGUAGUAAUCCAGGGUUUAUCCAUCUGGACCCGGAGUUUGGCCCAUCUUUUACGUUAAGAAAUUUAGGAACAUGAAAGGGGACGAGGACUUUAAAAUAAAAACCCAUUUAAAUUGUAACUCAAUGGGAGUAAUUUACCUCCUAACAUGUCCCUGUAAAAGACAUUAUGUAGGACGAACAAAAAGGAAAUGGAAAACUAGGCUGGGAGAGCAAAUCCGGAACAUUAAGAAGGGG